UUUCCUCCUAUCAGAUAUGUGUUUGUGGGGUUGUGGGGGGUAAAGGAAGAAAAAGGCUCUCUAUCAUUUCUCUUUCGGUGUGUAUCUUCCUCCCAACAGACUACUAUAUAAAGGUAAAGCGCUUCCGUUUGCAAAUUGUGAGUUUGUUGGAAAUGAGACCAUUAGAAUCAGUUGUUGAACUCCCUCCUCCUGUUAUGGCUCCGCCGCCGCCGCCUGAAUUGCCGAUGCUAGUCUUAGAGUUCUGCUUGACAGCAGCUUUUGAAAUCGCCAUCCGAUCGAACCAAACUCCUACACAAUACUACUCUAUAACAUUCCACUUGGUGUGUCUGGUAAUGGUGUUUGCGUUUGCUUUUAUCUUUGUUGCCAAAUACGUUUCUUCCAAGCACCCGAACCUAGGCCGCCUGCUUGACCACGCUGGAGUGGUCUGUGGAGUUACCGCUUUCUUUGUUGCUAUCACAGUCUCUUUCCCGCUCUGCCUCAAGCUCAUUUCCUGGAUCGUAUAUGCUCUUUCAUUGCUAGCAAUUUUCGUUUGCAAUUGCUGAAUCCUAGCAGACGAUUGUCACUGUCUGUCAGGGAUUGGAAAUAAGCAAAGAAGCAUGGAAUGGAAUAACAGUUACAUCUCUCAUUGAUAAUGUCUAGAGUAACUUCAAAAGCCUGAUAAGUGAUGAUCGCUUGGCCAGUUGGGAUGAUCUUCGGUGCUAUUGCUGGAAUAGGACAACCAAACUUCACUGGAUAAUUAUACUUGAUUGACUGGCAUAAGCAAAUAAUAUGAAGUACCAAGCUACUUAAAAGUUGCAGGAUGUUGUAAGUGAAACACUGUCAAUGGCAGAUCCUUGAACUUAUCAACAACAAAAAAAAUGGUAGAUCCUUCAACUUGUACUAAUAUGAUGAACAAAAUAUUCCAGUUCAGAUUCAGUUACUAUAUGCUGAUAUGCCAAUAGCUAGGGACUUCAGUUUGCUUGUUUAGAGGCUUAUUACCAUUGACUUUACUGCUUUGUGUGCUAUUUAACUUAUUAAAAAGCCUUGUUUUUAGUAUGACUCUGUUGGGUUCUAUGUCAGUUUCAUUGCUGAUAUGAACAAUUAAGAUUACUGGACAAUGUGUUACUCUCAACGUAGCUAGAGUUCUAACCAGCUGAAGCUAGUAGAUGCUAAUUUUUAUUUCGAAUCAGCUUGAGGAUGGUCAAACCGUGGCAAUGCAUUUUUCUAUUGGUUAAAUGGUGGAUCAUCAAUCUUACAUGACAAUAAUAUUCUCUGUUGUAGGCAAUGUGAGAUAUGUGGUUCCCAAACAAUAUAGAGCUGCCAAGGUGGCACUGAAACAGCAUAUGCAUAAAUCGUCUUUUUAGAGGGAACAAGGUUUGAUGAACCAAGAUGUUGAUUAUGGAUGUUCUAAUGAAAUUCAGCUGUGAGCUUGCUUAUUGGUGUGUUUAUCUACUUGAUGCUUGGUUUAUUUAUCUACUCACCAGGGUGUUUUUGACAAGAGCCUUGUAAGUGCAGCUAAUUAGUGGCAUAAUAAAAGACAAUUUGCCAAACUGUAUGAACCAACAACUCUAUAUAAUAUCAAAUCUAUGUAUAUACUUAAUUUGGAUGAGAAGGAAUAGUUACAGUUUAAAAUGGUCAAGAGGAACAACAGAUUAAUAUCAUUCUUGAAAGUUGAAUGAAUAUUUUAAAAUGAAUAAAACUACGGAUCACCACUGAGCUUUCGUUGUCAUUUUGUUCUGCAAAGAAGUUAUAAAAGGUAAAUCAAACUUUUGAUUUGACUAAUAUAAUUAUUUAGCCAAAAGGAGAACAAAUGCAAGUGUUUCAUGUGCAAAUUUUAGUCAUUUUAGAAAUUUCCAAAUUUAGAUUAAAAAAUAACUUUCAUUUUAAGAAUAACUUUGUAAUUUCAUUUUUGGAGAGUUGUGUGUGAAUGUUUAAUUGCCAAAAAAAAAAAAAAGGUCAUGCACUGCCUUCUGAAUGGGAUUUGCAAAAAUAGAAUUUUAGGGAUUAACCAUACAAAAUUUACUCCCGGUUUAUCUACUUACUAGCCACAGAAGAAUAAGUUCACUCAAAAUGGUUUAAGGACCUAAACAAAUAACUUCUGUUUCUUGUUCUUUUCAUUGUUGGUCUGUAACUGCAUGAUUUAUUGUUUUUUACGAUUUCAUUUGUUCUUGCUUCGUUUUUUUGCUCAAUUCUUUUCCUUCUUACUUUAUGCUAAUUAGCUGUCCUGUUUCGUUACAUUCUGUUUUGUCUCUAACGUGCCGGACGUUGAAGUUUCUCUGAAGUAGUCACUCAAGAAUAAUGUGGAGUACUCCCCAGUAGCACAAGUGACCUUUACAUACUGGUGAGCUAUCCAUAAGCAACUCCAGAUCCACAGCACUAUUUAGGAGUCCUGGAAGCACCAGCAUUCUGCAUUGCUAUUUAAUUCCCUACAACAGCAGCAGUCCUCACGUGGACCAACUGGUCUGUUUAUGCUGUCUCCUUGUAUAGUUUUACUUUAUGGUUAUACUCAUUAAUAGUGAAGUUGUAAGGGCUAGCAUUUGAUUGGAUUGCUGUGUUGGACAGAGUAGGAACUCCCAUUUGCAAAAUGUUUAGGAUCUGGCGUCUAAAUUUCAUUGGCUUACUUUUGCUUUUGCAAUUUGUUGUAUGAUAAAUUGUGGAAACUAUGAGAUCACGUUGACUGUUUACAUGAAAAUGUGCAUUUCAUCCCAUUAUUAAUGCAAUUUAGUGCUG